AACGUAGGACACAAGCGUUAUCCGGAGUUACUGGGCGUAAAGGGCUCGUAGGCGGCCAACUAAGUCAGACGUGAAAUCCCUCGGCUUAACCGGGGAACUGCAUCUGAUACUGGAUGGCUUGAGUUCGGGAGAGGGAUGCGGAAUUCCAGGUGUAGCGGUGAAAUGCGUAGAUAUCUGGAGGAACACCGGUGGCGAAGGCGGCAUCCUGGACCGACACUGACGCUGAGGAGCGAAAGCCAGGGGAGCAAACGGG
rnacentral:rRNA from 1 species